GAAUGGGCUUGGGGCAUGGACUGGAGAUGGAAGUGAAGUUGAAAUCCUCUGGCCUGGAACUGGUGUCAUUUGGGUGUAGAGGUUUUGAGUUGAGAUCAUCUGGUUGCAGGGUUCUGGUCGUAGUUUGAAGUCAUCUAGCUGUGGACAUUGUGUGACAUCGCCACUGGAGUAGAUUACUGCAGCCGCAUUGAGCUGAAAGCAACAGUUACAGGUGGACUCCCCCAGACUCUCAAAUCCUCACACCUCACUCAAGCAAUGUAGCGCUCCUGGUCAGAUUUAUAGAGACAGCAGAAUAGAACAAAAAGAAACAGCACACAACCCAUACAGCCACACAAAUCCUAAACCAUUUGGGAACUUGGAAGAUUUUCAGAUGAAGAAAUUCAUACAAUCAGUUAGAUUUAGCACAUAAGUCCUUCUUUAAGUCAGUCGUUAUCAAAUCUGUAAAACAAUUUAACCAAAGUUAGUUAUAUUAUAUUAGAUUAUAUGAAACACA